UGGAAGACUGGUGAUUUUGUUGUU
rnacentral:ncRNA from 8 species